AACGCACAUUGCGCCCUAGGGUAUUCCUUAGGGCAUGCCUGUUCGAGCGUCAUUUCCACCCUCAAGCACUGCUUGGUGAUGGGCGCCUGUCCCGCCUCCGCGCGUGGACUCGCCUCAAAUUCAUUGGCGGCCGGUACGUUGGCUUCGAGCGCAGCACAUUUGCGAACCUUGGGGCCCUUCGUGCCUGGCUCCCAGAAGCGAACUCUCUGAAUUUGACCUCGGAUCAGGUAGGGAUACCCGCUGAACUUAA
rnacentral:misc_RNA from 1 species